rnacentral:rRNA from 1 species
GAUGAACGCUGGCGGCGUGCCUAAUACAUGCGAGUCGAGCGAACAGAUGAGGAGCUUGCUCCUCUGACGUUAGCGGCGGACGGGUGAGUAACACGUGGAUAACCUACCUAUAAGACUGGGAUAACUUCGGGAAACCGGAGCUAAUACCGGAUAAUAUAUUGAACCGCAUGGUUCAAUAGUGAAAGACGGUUUUGCUGUCACUUAUAGAUGGAUCCGCGCCGCAUUAGCUAGUUGGUAAGGUAACGGCUUACCAAGGCAACGAUGCGUAGCCGACCUGAGAGGGUGAUCGGCCACACUGGAACUGAGACACGGUCCAGACUCCUACGGGAGGCAGCAGUAGGGAAUCUUCCGCAAUGGGCGAAAGCCUGACGGAGCAACGCCGCGUGAGUGAUGAAGGUCUUCGGAUCGUAAAACUCUGUUAUUAGGGAAGAACAAAUGUGUAAGUAACUAUGCACAUCUUGACGGUACCUAAUCAGAAAGCCACGGCUAACUACGUG